AGAAGUUUGAUCCUGGCGUCAGGAUGAAGCUAGCGGCAGGCUAAUACAUGCAAGUCGAGGGGCGAGCACGAAUAGCAAUAUUUGGUGGCGACCGGCAACGGGUAGCGGAACACGUAACGCAAACCUCCCAAAACCUACGGUGAAUAAGCCUCCCGAAAGGAGGAUUAAUACACCGUACCAUAAUGAAGAGGCAUCUUUUUAUUUAUUAUAGGUCGCAAGAUCGGUUUUGGAUGGGCGUGCGCCUGAUUAGGUAGUUGGCGGGGUAACGGCCCACCAAGCCUCCGAUCAGUAACUGGUGUGAGAGCACGACCAGUCACACGGGCACUGAGACACGGGCCCGACUCCUACGGGAGGCAGCAGUAAGGAAUAUUGGUCAAUGGACGGAAGUCUGAACCAGCCAUGCCGCGUGAAGGAUGAAGGCCCUCUGGGUUGUAAACUUCUUUUAUCUGGGACGAAAAAAGGGGAUUCUUCCUCACUUGACGGUACCAGAGGAAUAAGCACCGGCUAACUCCGUG
rnacentral:rRNA from 1 species